UCCAUCGGGCACUAUCGAAUUUAGACAGUAAUAGUAAUCUAAGUGGGCAGUGAAAAAGUAAAAGGACAUCAGAUUAUUAGUAUCCAUAUAAAGAAAUAUAGCAUCAAUGACGAUUUCAGUUGUUUUGGAACCUUUUUGUCACAUAAACUGUGAUUAUUUUUUUAAGAUUUUUAUUGAAUCGGUAAAAUAUCAAAGGUUGAAAUUUCACUAGUUCCAGUUUAACGUCACAUCUGAGAGUUACUAGCUUGAGAGUGUGGAAUUCUGUUUCCGUAAAGGACACUUUGGCUUGAAAUUUAUUGGAUCGAUUCUGCUGACUUGGAUUUAUUAGUAUACGAAGCAAAUGCAGUUCGGGGCAUUGUGACAGAACAAAAAAGAGUAAAUCGAUGGGGUUGUGCAGUGGAACUUAACGCAUGAUUAAUUCUGCUUUUAAAAAAGGACUUAAGAGAGAAACCCCAACAAAAUACUUCAAUGAAGCAGAGUUUAUAAUAAUUAAUUAGUGUUGGAACUAUGGUAACAUAGACCAAAUUUCCUUAGAAUUUCUAUUACAAAAGUUUGGCAUAUCUUUAAUAAAAUUCGAGCAAUAAUAA